UACGAAGGGGGCUAGCGUUGCUCGGAAUCACUGGGCGUAAAGGGUGCGUAGGCGGGUUUUUAAGUCAGGGGUGAAAUCCUGGGGCUCAACUCCAGAACUGCCUUUGAUACUGAAGAUCUUGAGUCCGGGAGAGGUGAGUGGAACUGCGAGUGUAGAGGUGAAAUUCGUAGAUAUUCGCAAGAACACCAGUGGCGAAGGCGGCUCACUGGCCCGGUACUGGCGCUGAGGCACGAAAGCGUGGGGAGCAAACAGG
rnacentral:rRNA from 1 species